UGGGAAUUCUCUCCUACGACGGGGUGAGAUAUCGUUCCGGGGACGUUCACCCGGCGGACUGAGGAAACGCUGGUCUGGACAGCGGCACCGGCUCCCUUCUGGGGGCGGGACCAACGGAAAACACCCCGGAGGACGCAGUGAAGUGAGAUGUGGGCUUCGAAGGGAUGACU